GGGGUAGUAGGAUUUCUGGGCACUGUCGCGGGCCCAGUUGAGGGUGGAGACUGUGACUUCACGGUGACCCAGCCUGCUUAGCAUUAUGGAAAGUCCACAGCAAGGCCACGGGCAUGGGCUGGAGUGGAGGAGAGGCCCCGAGGAUGGGAGCCCAGGAUGUGAGAGGCCUGGAGUUGGACAGCCAGAGGGUCCUGUCACCUAUAGUUUCCCCUGCUAGUUCACCUUGGCUAUCCAGAGAAACUCGAGGAGGUGGAAGAAGCCUGGGCCUUAAUGUGGUGACCACAGGAACUCAGCACAGUGCUCGUGGGGCGCGUCAUGGUUAGGGGGGAACUCUAUAAGCAGAAUUCCAGCCCUGCAGCAGCCUGAUUCUCCCCUGUUUGAGGGGACUGUUCCACACGGAG
rnacentral:lncRNA from 1 species